rnacentral:lncRNA from 1 species
UAAUCAUAAGUGUGAUCUUAAUCAUUAAAGUCAUUUAAUGUCCAUUACUUAUUCAUUUUUUUAAUUACCUAAAUGACAUUGAAAACUCUACUCAAUAUUAAUUCAUUCAAAUGUUUUGUUUUAAGGUAAUCGGAAACUGCAAAUGAAACAAAUGCUUGAAAUCACAAACGGCCUAAAAUUAGAUUUUCAUUUUUCAAUGUUGCAGUGACUUUGAUGUUGAUAUUGAAAUUUUAUUUGUAACUUAUAUAAAGGCCUCAAUUUUAUCAUAAUUGGUUAGUAAGGCUACGUAGGGACCAUCGAUAAAUUUUGGGAUUGGAUUAUAUUUUUGGAACUAAAAAUUUAAUUUCAUCCUAUGUUAUGUUUGGCUGUUAGGACUAGCAACUUACUCUAAAAUUAUUGAAAUUAUUGAUGUUUUAUAUUAUAAUCUUUUCAUUACAACUUUAAACAUUAUUGGUAACUUAAAUCAUUUUUUAAAUUAAAUAUAAAAAUUAAUUUAAUUAAAUAUAAAAAUCAUUUAAAUUAAAUAUAAAAAUCAUUUAAAUUAAAUAUUAACAUUAAUUCAUAAUUUUUUACCUAGAAUUUUAUAUUAUAUUAAAUACUAAAAUUCUAUUCGAUAAUGUAUUAUCAUUUAUUUAAUAAAUGUUUAGUAUGUUAUAUUAUUAUUUAAAUUAAUUUUUUAUUUACAUAUAAACAUAAAUUAUUAUUUACUAAUUUAAAUUUAUUAUAAUUAGUUAAAUAAUAAAACAUAAAUGAUUAUAUUGAAAAUAUAAAUAGUAUUCUAAUGUAUUAUAGUCUAAAUCUUACCCCUAUGAGAUUAUUUUAUACACCUUUUAUUAUAUUAACCACAUUUAUAAUGCAGUGCAAUGUAACAAAAAAUUAUAACCAAAUAUGAGUUAGCAUGAAAAUAAUAUUUUAGUGCAAUAUAAUACAAUGUAAUGUAAGCUAACAAAUGGAUAUUUAAUGGAAGCAAAAAUUGCAUAUGGCUUGUGGGUCUCUUAAAAGACAAUGAAUAAACCAAUAUGAUACACUGAUUCUGUCAUCUUUAAUGGUGUCUUUACUAAAUGGGAAUCAGAAUAAGUUAGAAUUGGAAUGAGCUUGAAUCGAAAUAAGGAAUUAGAAUAAAAAUGAAUUGUUUAUUUAAUUUGUAUGAAUCAGAAUCGGAAUAAAUUUUACUCAAAUUAAUAUGUUUAUUUUCUCUUAAAAUUAUAAUGCACUAUUACAAGUUACUAAAAAAUCAUUUGGUAAUUGUUGUCUCUACUACCACUACUACUACCACAACUACUACUACUACUACCACUACUACCACUACUACUACCACUACUACUAGUACUACUACUACUACCACGACUACUACUACUACCACGACUACUACUACUACCACGACUACUACUACUACCACGACUACUACUACUACCACGACUACUACUACUACUACUACUACCACUACUACUACCACUACUACUACUACUACCACUACUACUACUACUACCACUACCACUACUACUACUACUACUACUACUACCACUACUACUACUACUACCACCACUACUACCACUACUACGACCACUACUACCACUACUACCACUACUACCACUACUACUACUACUACUACUACUACCACUACUACUACUACUACCACUACCACUACCACUACUACUACUACUACCACUAUUACCACCACUACUACUACUACUACUACUACCACUACCACUACUACUACCACUACUACUACUACUACUACUACUACCACUACUACCACUACCACCACUACCACCACUACCACUACUACCACUACUACUACUACUACUACAGUCUCUCAUUUUCUAUUUCUAAUUUGAUGUGGGUCUUACUAUUUGGAUUCCAAUUCUUAUAUUUAUUUGUGAGACAAAAUUAUGGUGCAACUGUAGUACCAUUGGAUUCAGCUACAGUUAUCAUCAUGACUUGAUAUAAUGAUUAAAAGUAAUUGUGGUACAUUUAUUUAUGAAGUAAAAUGAUGUUAAUAAUUUCGAUUUCCAAUUCGAGAAGUAAACACAUCAUAAUAUUUUUUUAGAUGCUUCUAUGCCAUAAUCUCAUUGGUCCAUUUUUCUUCACGCCUUAGAUUCAACUUCAAGAUUCAAGAUUCAAGAUUCAAUUUGAAGCAAACACAACUACAAAACAAAUAUAAUAAGCGUUAAUAAGCCUGUGGCUGACUGGCUGUGGCCAAGCAAAUGUACUACCUCAUAGUGAUUAGUGACCGUAUCAUAUCUUAUUAUCUUACGCCAGAAGCUAAACAAUGUUCCCAUUCCACGUGUCACUCUCUGACCAAUCCCCGAACUUUCUUCAUAUUUCCAAAGAAACCCUCACCAAGUCAAGAUAAUUACCUUCACUCUACUCAUAUAAAUACUGUCCUCCAUUCGACUGAUGUCUGAUGACGACAUAUCCUUAGUCUUUAUUUAAAAGGGGAAAUUAUAAAAAAUUCUCCUCGUUCCCUGAAAAUCUAGGGUUUCUCAAGAAUCGCUAAACCUAGGUCCCAAUCCUUCAAAAUCUCAAUUUAAACUCUCUAGGGUUUCAAUUGUCGAGCAUUCGCUUCAAAAUUUAGUAUUUUUUAGGGGAUUUUGCUUGUCUCGUAUCCUUCAAUUGUUGUUCGGUUCUGAAAAUAAUUUGGAAUUUUAGGGAUUUUCAGAUUAUUUGGUUUUGCUUGAGCGCAAUUUCCUCUAGUUACGGUUUCAGUUUGAAGGGUUAAGUGCGAUUUCGAAUAUUUUUAUAAAAUUAAAAUUAAAAUUCAUAAAACGAUUGGGCGUUUAAUAAUUAAUUGAUGGCUAGCGAUACUACAACGGCGGCCGCAGCUGCGGAAGAAGCAGAGGCGGUGGAGGAGUAUGAUAGCGAUCCAGAUGAAGUGAAACGCUCUCUUGCGAUGCGCAGAAGGGAAGCCAGCGAUGAGGAGGUUGAGGAGGAUAAAGAUUCAGAGCUUCCAAUAGUUCAAAGUGUCCACAUUCCUGCGGGAAGCCGAGGCUGUGGAUGAGUAUGAGAGCGAUCCAGAUGAAGUGAAACACUCUCUCAUUAUGCGCAGAAGGGAAACAAGCGAGGAUGAUGAGGAGGAGACAUAAUUUGAGCGUCGAAUGAAUUGAAGGGUCCAGAUUCACUCUUACAUUGAAUCUGAUGGCCAAGGUGGUGCUCCAGCUGAGUAUGAUGAUGAAGAAGAAGAAGAGGAACAUGACAGAGAAUUAGAAGAAGAAGAUGAAGAAGGGGAUGUUUAUGAGGCUGUAGAGGAAGAAGAAGUUUAUGAAGAAGAGGAGAGGAAUGAUGGGGCUGUUAAAGUCAAAGGAAUAGAGGGUAAUGAUGCAUGAGGAGUACGGAGGGUGCAGUGGAAGUGAGUAAAGGGAAUAAUGAUAAUCGCAAUGGUGCUAAAAGAAUGAUGCAGCAGAGGAGGGAAUGGAGGAAGAGAAGAAGGAGAGUAAUGAGCCUUUUGCACAGCAGCUGGGGCUUUUUAUAUGGGACAAUGUUGCAGGUCGACACAGGUAUUAUUUGAUUUGAGUGACAAUUUAUAAAUAGCUAAUAGCUAUGGGACAAUGUUGCAGGUCGACACAGGUAUUAUUUGAUUUGAGUGACAAUUUAUAAAUAGCUAAUAGCUUUACUUUCAUUAGGGCUUGUCAAUUAAUCCAGUCUCAAGUUUUGGUGCUGUAUAAUGAUUGUUUGCUGGAAUCUGUGUAGAAGGCUUUUGGCCUAGUAGGUUGAAAGGAGAGAAAGUUCUCAAAUAAACAUCUGUGCUUUGUGGAAUAUAAUUAAUAGGUACAAAGCAUACUAAAUUACUUGACAGAUAGAUGCCGAGCUAAUCAUGGGCUAUGAUAGCAUUAUCCGUGCUUUCUGUAUUUUUAAUAGGGCUUGUCUAUUUCAAAGUGUGUAGUGUAGAAUUUUUGGGUUUAGUUUGAGUGAUGAAGUGUUAGAUAGGUUUCUGUUUGGCAUAGUUAAGUGGUUAAUACGAGCUAUUGAAGCAAAUAUGGAGUAGGAUAUCUAGUUUUGGGUUUGGUCUUAGUUUGAAGAUGGCUACUGAUUAUGCAGCUAGGUACGUAUUAGUGUUUGUGGAUUGCUAAAUGCUUUCUGUCAAAUGUGAGUAGAUUAUUACUUGAAGUGCAUGGAUCUUACACUUAAUUAAUUAUAUAUCCAUUUGUAAUGUUCAAAAUGAUCAUGUACUAUUGCUUAAAAUUAUGUUUUCAAGCCAUGGUUGUAAUGUGUCUCUAAAUUCAGUAAUACAAGUUCUGUCAAUUGCUGUCGGAUGGCAGUGACUUGAAUAGUUUAAUGUUCAUUUGCAGACAAAAUUUGAGAAAGAAAACUAAAAAUUUCUGUGCGUUCUGCUGGAAAUUUAAUUAGCUUCAUUUGAGCAUUAAUUGCUGGCAUUAUCUCUUAGAUUUCUCUUGCAUUGAAUGAAUGGAUGAGUGCUAAUCCAUGCAAAGACUCCCAUGCAUACACAAUGAAUGCUUCAUCAAAGGUAUGGUAAAAUGUCAACACGCUUGGCCCAAAUUAUCAAGCUGGUGUGGUGGCUGCUAGAUUUGUUCAUCCGGAUUUUGGACCAUUUUCAUUGACAAUGAGAAAAGCUGCAAGAUCUGUAAAUCGGAAACUCAUUGAAGUGCCAAAAGAGAGAUGGAAGUGAAUAACAAGAGAGUUAGUGAAGAGAGGGUGCAGUGAUUGUGUGGGAAGCUUUGGGUUUACUUGGGGUUUGGAUGUGAGAUAAAAUAAUUUGAGAGAGAGGUUGUAACAAUUUUUCGGUAAUAGAGUUUUUCAGGUAACUCUUGUGUUGUGUGAUUAGAGUAUUCUCUAUUGUAUUUUGUUUUUUGUUAUUUAUUUGACGUAUUGCUAGCGGAGAUCUUGGGUGGGAACCAAAAAUUCCCAACAAUUGUCAAUUGUUUUAAACUCUAUUUCGAACAGAGCAUGAAGGGAUUCACUUAUCUGAUUAUGUCUUUUAUGCUUUAACUUCACUUGAUUUCAUCUUGUCUGUCACCUUUAUUAAAGUUGUAUAUGUUGGGAGUAUUAGGUUCAUCACAGGGAUCAUAUUAUGGCUAAGGAAGGGGCACAGUUUAUCAGCUGCACUCAAGUGUAGCAGAGUAUUUGGAUUCAAGACUGUUAGAAGGUUGUUACAAUGCAAGGCUGUUGCUGUGUAACUGUAUGCCAUUCUCGCAAGUGCACUCUUAACAGAUUGCUGAGGUGGCACCGGAUGUUUUUAGCUAAUAUUAGUUAUUGGUCUAGAGUGUUCUGAUUUAUUCUAUAAAUAGCUCAUUCGAGCUUAGAACCUUUAUAGUGUAUCAUAGGUUUCUGUUUCUUCUAAUAACGAUUUUCUCUAUUCCUUUUUCUUUCACUUUCUCUUUCAUUUUCAUGAUCCCCAAACACCAUCAAUCCAUGAUUUUCUAGAGUAUUAGUUGUCUAUUUCUACAAACAUAGAAUUGUUGUUUUAAGAAACAAAGUACUCUGUCCUGUCACCCGCGGUCUUCUUGUUUAUCGACUUGUGAACAGGGCUAAAUAAACGGCAAAUAAGAUAUUGGGUCAAUGGGUCUAACGUGAC